rnacentral:rRNA from 1 species
UACGAAGGGGGCUAGCGUUGCUCGGAAUCACUGGGCGUAAAGCGCACGUAGGCGGAUUGUUAAGUCGGGUGUGAAAUCGUUGGAGCUUAACUCCGAAACUGCAUUCGAUACUGCCGUGCUUGAGGACUGGAGAGGAGACUGGAAUUUACGGUGUAGCGGUGAAAUGCGUAGAUAUCGUAAGGAAGACCAGUGGCGAAGGCGGGUCUCUGGACAGUUCCUGACGCUGAGGCACGAAGGCCAGGGGAGCAAACGGG